GAACGGAGAGAAUUCCACUCCAUAUAUCUCUAUAUACUAAAACUCAGUGAAGUGAGUACUGUAGAUGACCAGUGGACGAACGAUUUUGCCCCUGGCUUUUUCCUCCAGUUGUUAUUCUCUUUGGUUUUUGGGGCAGCGAAAUGCCGCUUUUGCCCAUUGCUUCCACGCGUUUGUCAUCGAUGAAUCCUCUCUUUGGACUGUGUGUUCUCGAUUUUUAUUUUGCUUUCCGUUGCUUACUCACAUCUUUCUCGCAGAUCUCUCUUCUGCUGUUCUCGGGAUUACUAAAUCUCGCCUUCGAUUCCAACAAGUGCGAUCAAUCUCGCCCCUUAAUUCCCUUUUGCCUUCUCUCUUUCGCCGUCGAUCUCUGCUUCAAUUCGUCUUCUCUCUCGCAAAUCUUUGCUUUUGUCCCAUUCGAACCUUUUCUGGGGUGAAUGGCUUCUCCACAACUUAGCACUGCAAGUGGGCGGAUUUCAUGGUCCUCGCCACCGGAAGAUCCACGUCGCACGUCAAGAACAUCGCUCAAGCCCUAAUUUACAAGGCAGGUUUUUGAUAAAAUUCACCUUCACAGACUGACUAAAAACUUGGUGAUCGGUAUAAAGACAAAAUAAAAAAGGUUUGACCCUAAUUUUUUCGUUGCGUUAUAACAAUGUGAUUCUAGCUUGCACAAACUACGAGGUAUACUCCAACCUAUUCUUUAACCAGCAUUAUACAAUCCAUGUUCUGUUGAAAUUUUGAAUAUUUUGUGAUGGAAAAGGUUAUGAUAAAUGUAAGGUAGAAAUUCUAUUAUGAGUUCUUCAGCUGAUUUGGGGCAUGUUUCUUUCCGAUAUUUAAUUUCAUCUGGAAACAAAUAGUGUUUAGAAUCACCAAGUCGUACAAAAAGUAUUUUAAAUUGUUUUUUAACCAAUUUAUUGCCAACUUUUCCAACGGGUUUCUUAUUUUAUUUUCCAUUAUUUUGCAACAAACCAAAGCCUUUCCAUGCUCAAGAAUUAAUGUGUGCUUAAGAAUUAAUUUGUUUUGUUUGAUCAUUAUGUUAUAAUACUAUAUGUGGUUGCAAGUUUGAAAAAUGUAGGGAGACAAAUCAGUUAUCAACAAAUUAGCAUGGUUCAUCCUAAUGCUAUAUAAGUUAGGUUGCUGAUUUGUUUCCUCAUUUCUUCAUUGGUAAUUUGUGUUUUCAGUGACUUUACGUUCUUGGGUAAUAAGUUUUUGUCAAGAGUUAAUAUGUUUCAUUUUUUUUUUUUUAAAUUUCUGUUUUGUAUGGUUCUGUUUCAUGUGAUUAGAGGUUCCAAAAGAGAAACGUUACUUCUUUUAUUUGGUCAGAGGAGCGGGGAGGAAGGUUUGUUCAAUUUUGGUUUUUCUGAUGGGUUAGGAAUAAAUUAUGUCACUAUUAAUAUUGCAGGUGUCCAGCUUGCAAAAAUUACAAGGUAUGCUACAAUCUAUACUUUUUAGGAAGAUUUGAUUCAAAUUGAUAGAUUUCGGUGAGAAAGAAACUUUUAUCUUUUCUUUUACUUAAGAACUCUUAGGACUUCAAAUUUGUAAAAGAUACGAAUAUUAGAACAAUGGCAAUAGAACCACUUUUUAUCUUUUUUUUUCAGUUAAGGACACUUAGGAUUUGAAAUUUGUAAAAGAUGUAAAUACUAGAACAAUGGCAAUAGAACCGCCGGUCCAUAUGAUUGUAAACAAAUUUCAACAUAUAUCUAAAAUAGUAUUGCAUAUCGUA